AUUGAACGCUGGCGGCAUGCCUUACACAUGCAAGUCGAACGGCAGCACGGGUGCUUGCACCUGGUGGCGAGUGGCGAACGGGUGAGUAAUACAUCGGAACAUGUCCUGUAGUGGGGGAUAGCCCGGCGAAAGCCGGAUUAAUACCGCAUACGAUCUACGGAUGAAAGCGUGGGACCUUCGGGCCUCGCGCUAUAGGGUUGGCCGCUGGCUGAUUAGCUAGUUGGUGGGGUAAAGGCCUACCAAGGCGACGAUCAGUAGCUGGUCUGAGAGGACGACCAGCCACACUGGGACUGAGACACGGCCCAGACUCCUACGGGAGGCAGCAGUGGGGAAUUUUGGACAAUGGGCGAAAGCCUGAUCCAGCAAUGCCGCGUGUGUGAAGAAGGCCUUCGGGUUGUAAAGCACUUUUGUCCGGAAAGAAAUCCUUGGCCCUAAUACGGUCGGGGGAUGACGGUACCGGAAGAAUAAGCACCGGCUAACUACGUG
rnacentral:rRNA from 1 species